AAAAAGGUCUCGGGUUGGCUCGUUCGUUACAGUUAUCUGGUGUUCGUUGCAGCGAUUCCUCAUAAAAAUUGUGUACGUGAAUCUAGGCAGCAGUAAAGUCGCAAUCAUGUGCAAGGCUGUUAUAGAUUGUAAUGAAAUAAUGAAGGAUUGGAAGAGUGUGAGAAGACGAUGAGCAAACGGCCUUCAAUUCACUGAAAUGGUGUGAGUCAUUGGCGCUGCUUCAAUGAAAUCCAUGCUGAACGCCACCAGAAAGAGGCUUUGGUUCAGGAUUCACACUCGUUUCCUGCUCCUCGAAACGUUAAUGGCAACGAUGAGGAGGAAUGGAAUACUUGAACAAGCAACAACGUCAACAGCCUGAAGUUGAAACCAAAACCGAAUUGAAAUGUCAUAAAGUGGCUUAAAAAGAAGUUACGUCGAUCAUCUGUUCGACGAUGGUUUGUUAUUGAGUUACUGAGUGAGUCUUCACGUCUGUCCGUGUCUUCCCCAACCUCAACGCUUGGCAGCGAGUUCCGUAAAACAGCCGAUGGCCGACUCUACACAGAUCGCAGGAGCAGCGAGCAGCAGCAGCAACCACCACCGAGUCUCCCCAGCAUGACAUGAAAAUGCCAAUGCCAAAGGCAGCCGACAAAGAACAAUGGGGACAAGGCGGAAUUGCGAGCGGCAGCAGCUCUAGCUCAUCAGCUUACGUGUGUUUGAAGCUCGUGCCAUUGUCAGUGCUGCCAUCACCGGCUACCACAACAUUUCUACAUAGAACGCUUCGCAGUCGCUGACCAUCACCCACCCAUUCACACAGAUACACGGUAUUUGGUAUAUCAGCUGCGAACGAAAAAUAUUGCUUUUUGAACAGAUUUACAGCGAAACAAUACCAAGGAGUAGCCGCAAUCAUCAAGAAACUAAACUCCCAAGUCAUCAAAACGUCUUCAAACCCUGCAAUGCAAAGGAACUACUCAUUUCAGCCAACAUCCUCAUCUUCGGAUCUUGAGGGACUUCAGUUGAAUUCUUGCAUGUAAGCCGUAUGGGAUUUUUCUUGUGAUUAACACUUGAAUUGCAGCCAUCAUUAGCCAAGCGGUCUCCCAUAUUGACAUUCUUAGUGUACGCUGUGGUAUGCUGCGUGCUCACUCAACUCGUCCUGUUUCAAUUGAGGAGCUUACGUAAUCUCUUAGGAAUGUGAAAAUCGUUGGAUCUCUGCUCUUUUACCCAUGAUUUUACAAAUAAGAUGUUGAACCUAGCCUGCCGUACUCCAUACUCUUCACUUUCCUAACCAUUGGGCUAUUGUAAGACCGAUUUUAAUAUUUGUAGCGAUGCAUCACAGUCGAACUGUUCCUGUGAGUGUCUGGUGCCAGAAAAGUUUCCUCUCCAUUCGCGCUCAAAAUUUUGGAUAUCUUUAACAGGAGAGCGGCUGCCAUCCAGCUAAGAUAUCGUAUUUUUUAUACAAACUCAUAUGUUACUCAGCUUGUAGUCUGGUAUCAAGCAUUACCUUUCGUUUACUUUUCCAGCAAUGUGACGCAGUUGAGCGGUACCUGCGUGCAUGUGCAUAGAGCGUGUGGAGACGAGAGUGCGACAAUUUAAAUUGCUUUCUUGAAUGUGUCAAAAGCCUACAACAAGUCCCCGGCAGCAACAGUCAUUGGGAUUAAUAACAAAGUGAUUGGUCUUUGAGCAAAACUCGAACAAAAUGCUUCUUUUGUUUCAAAUUCUCUUUUAGCACAUAUGAAUGUAGCUUUUUUGAGCCAGAGCCUACAGCUUAACUUGCAACUGGGAUACUUGCAACUUGAUAGCUGGGAAAACGGAUCACCUUCGAAAACGACGAAAUGACACUUCUGAGAUUGGUAUGGGCACACAUGUUUUCGGAUAUUUUGUUCUUCUUGUAGAUAUGUAUAGACACAUAAUCCUAUACCGAAUCUUUCUGAAAUCUAAGCAAUCGUCGUAUGGACGGACAGGAGUCAUUUCGCCAUCGCGUAUCCGAUGUGGUGGAAGAUCCAGACACGGGACAGUUACAAAAGCUAAGACAUUGCAAUAGAAAUCAUUUCUUUAAUAUUUUGUAGAAAUGUGCCGCAGUUGAACAGUGCCUGCGCAUAUUGGUGGACUGUCAAAAAAUGACAAGCUGCAAGGAAAUUUCGCUCAAGUCUUCGAUGGGUAGUCCGCCCAGCACAUGUAAAUUAUAUUAAGUGUGUGGAACAAAAUCUUUCUUUAUUUUUGUAGAGUUGUGGUUGCAAUAGGCCGUGCUUGUCAUGUCUAAAACUCAUAUACAAAAAGCAUAGCCUCGGAAUUACUACCGUAAACAAGAGGGAUUAAUCGACAGCUUCAGGCAGAACCAUGUGUAUACUGUCUUUUGUCAUAGUAGCGGAUCGUUGGGACCAGGAAAAUAUGCGUUUUUACUAAAGUUUUCCUUUCUCACUGAAAAUUGGUUCAUUUUAAUGUAUUCAUUACAGUGCUUGUAACAAUCUAAAAUAUCCAGUCGGCAAAUUGAGCUUGGGAUGAUCCGACCACACAGCCAAACUUACACGUGCACUUUCACCUGUUUUUAAUACCUACCCGUGUACAUGAAGCAAAAUUUCUUGAGGCAAUGGGAAUCAAAUGCCAACUUGAAAGCAAUAACACCAACACUCAAUCGACCGAAAUCCACAUCUAUACAACACGUCGACUUGGCAUUGAAUUGAAGAAUCUCCCUAUCAACUCGAACAGCAAGGUCAGGUCUGUUACAAUGUCUGUGGCAAUGAUGGAGUGCUUUAUAGAAGCAGCUGUUUGUCUCCUUGUUUGUCUGGUUGCCUGUCUUGGCACAUAGGACCCUCUACAGAGUGAGAAAUUUGAGCGGUUUUUAAUUACCUUUGCACUUCUUGCAGCGAUGUUUCACAGUUGAAUGUGCCUGUGGGCAUCGACUAGGUAGGAACGAACGAAAGUCAACUUCUUUGGAGUGGACAAGCUAGCGAGCAACCAAUCAGUUACCAGUUACUCUACACACCGCUCUUAACAAGUCUUGAGUCUGCGGCUGUUGUUUUGUUGCUGCAAAUCGUUAAAGGGAAUCAAGAACGAUGCAUCAAGUCCAUCCAUUUAGACUUCUACCAAUCAAUCAUGCGACCGCCACAUCGACAACUGCCUACAAUCGCUAAUGCUAUGCACCAAACGAGCAGAAUACAUCGAGAGAACAUCGAGUAUAGCAACAAAACGCAAGCAAGCUAACGAGACUGUCGGGCGCCUAUUUUAAAAUUAGAUGUAAACUUAACGUUUCUACAUUACAGGCAAGUUGUCUGCCCGAAAUGGGUCGCUUGUGUCUUUUACGAGGGUGCAGAGCUUCGUAGCCCAUAACCUGUCGCCGAAAGAAUCAAUCAACGCUCGGACGAGACUAGGCCAAGUUCAAGAUAGCCAAUUGCCGCCUGUCGCUGUCCAAAGCAUGGGCGUCAAGAGCGACCUGGAGACAGUCCUGCGAGCGAUGUGCUAGCCUAAGCACGUAAUGCAAUUGGCACCGCACAGAGAUGUGCGUUCGGUCCACGCUAAAGGGAAACAAAUGCGUUUGGACCGAGAGCCGCUACACCGCACCAUCACCAGCAUUCGCUGAAGAAGUGAGCUGAUGUGUUGUCGUUGUUACAGGGCUGCUGCCUGCAAGUACGCUACGGGCAUCCUAGCGUCGUCGUCGCUAAUUAAUCGUCACUUUCAGCGUUGUGUUUGAAUAACAUCCGGACAGAUCAGCAGCCAACGACGUGUAGCCAGUCGUUUAUCGCAAACGGGAACCAAUUGCGAUUAGUGUUCAAGCAUCCGAAACGGAAGAAAUGCAGCAGCCACAAUUCAAGACAGUCAAAAUCGAUUAGCAACUUACAGAUCAUAGGAGAAGUUGAUGAAACCACUUGCCAACGGGUUGUCGCUUCAUUUGUCCUUUCCUCCCGUAGGUAGUCCAGAAUAAGAGGUACCCAUAUUCAUCGCAAAAGGGAAUCAAAUGCGAUUAGUGUUCGAAGACCGAGCUAGCCAGCCUAUUGAAAUGCUACGCUCUACCAGUUGAGUCCUUAACUCCUGGCCCGCCGAUCCAACAUACCGCAAAAGGGAAACAAAUGCGAGAUGGUACCACAGUCGAGCUCCCCGUUGAGCUCCUGGUAAAACUCUUCAUUUCUUCAGCACAGCAAUCGUAAAGGGAAUCCAAUGCGAUGUACAGCGACAGCGGCAGGCAGGGUCCCAAAUCCCUAAAGGUAUAAUAGUAGUGUUAUUGGUCUAUGUACACUUUCCAGGAACGGCAAAUACCCCCAUUUGAGUCAGAAAUAUUGUUCCACCAGGUCCAGAUCCAUGGCUGUGGCCUGGCCCACUAACAUAUAUUGCCGCGCCUUCCUGCACACUCGUCACUUUGGUCUCAAAGGGAAUCCAAGAGACACGCGCCCGCGGUACAGGCAACUUAAACACGCUCUUCCUUUGUUUUAGUUUCCUUCAAAGUUCUCAUUACAGCUACUCGUGAUACUCAUUGCAUUUGUAAUGAAAUUGUUAGCUAUCAUAUUAUGUUGUCUUUAAAUACCUUGCGUAGAUAAUGUUAAUGUUUGUUGCUUUAAAAUUUUAUUUAAAUGUAAGAUAUGUUGUAUUUUGACAUGUAAAUUGAAAAGCCAAAGCAGACUUCCCCUGAAGAGUGCAUCCGGACAUCCUUCAAAAGGCUUCGGGAGCUGUCCAUGUUACACCUAGACGUACCAGUUGUUGCCGCAGAGAUCAUAUCCACGACCACGACUUUUAGAGCGAGAUCCAUGACAGUGAGGAGUGGGAUCAGCAUACAGAGGACAUACAUUUUCGAAAUUUUGAUACAUUCGACCUUCUACUAACUUCGAGGCAUAUUCAUUGGGCUCUUUGAAUCAUCUAAUCGCAUCCUAUGAGCUCUCAAAAGAAGGCUGGGAGUACACGCUAUUGAUAAUUUUCGCUACGAGAACCGGCUGAGAUAUUUCUGGGAGCCCCCUGCUGUUCAAUUCGACAUCGCCAAUAGCUUCUGCGAUCGCUUUCGGGAGCAGCAUAGCAACUGGUCCGAGAUCUGAGAUGCUGGCCAAAUAUCGUUAUUCUGACCACUUCCAUCGAUCUGCACAAGUUAUUUCGUUGUUCGUACCACUGGCUUGUUGACACUGCUUUGAAACUGAUGUCAAGCUUAAACCGUUUUCCAACAUUUGCCUUUUCUUCGCACUGCUGCAGUUGGACACGGUGAUCGUCAUUACCAUUACCGUUUGCUGUAGCAUUCAAUUAUCGUUUCGCUACUAGUAGCUUAACUAAUGACUUUGACGCUCAACUUUGCUUGUGGAGGAGAUUAGGAGAUUUUUCGCGGAUUGCAAGUUAAAUAAAUUUUGGAUAUUGACUGCAGCGUGGGAUUCAAUAUGAUUGUGAAAUUAUUUUUCGACGGCGGCGAUGGAUGCAAGCUUCAGGACUGCGGCGUGGGAUAACAAUUUAGCUACGUGGGACUAAUAGGGAAUUUAGGCAAGGUCGUUAGGGAACUGUUUUUUCGAUCGUGAAAAGUUGAAGCAACUGGGAACACAUUUUGACGGCGGCGUGGGAACCAGCAAGCACUUAUACAGAUGACUUCAGCGGCGUGGGAGCUGGUCAGUUUAUGACUGCGGCGUGGGAAAGGAUGGCGGAUUGACUGCGGCGUGGGAACUGAGGGCGGAUUGACAGCGGCGUGGGAACUGAGGGCGGAUUGACGGCGGCGGGGGAUGCGGUUGCUGACGGCGGCGGGGGAGAACUUGACUGUGGUGUGGAAUAUCUGGACUGCUGCGCGGGAGAAUCUGACGGCGGCGGGGGAUCCUCUUCGGAUUAGAAUCAUCGGUGGUUUUCCAAAAAUAUUGGCACAACGUAAACUUAGCAAAUCACAAUAUACUUUUUUUGAUGGUUCAAAGCUGAUAUACUUGAUGAUGCCGUGAUCACCGUCCCAAAAAAAAAAACCCACACCCCUGACUAAGCUUUUUAUGGAAAUUUCAUCAUUUCUACACACACAUUUUAUUUUACACUUCUGGAAUACCGGAAAGCAACCAACAUUCAUAUUUAUACCGAUGGUCCAAUUAAUUCAACGCUGCAAC